rnacentral:rRNA from 1 species
UUGAACGCUGGCGGCAUGCCUUACACAUGCAAGUCGAACGGUAACAGGUCUUCGGAUGCUGACGAGUGGCGAACGGGUGAGUAAUACAUCGGAACGUGCCCGAUCGUGGGGGAUAACGCAGCGAAAGCUGUGCUAAUACCGCAUACGAUCUACGGAUGCAAGCAGGGGACCGCAAGGCCUUGCGCGGACGGAGCGGCCGAUGGCAGAUUCGGUAGUUGGUGGGAUAAAAGCUUACCAAGCCGACGAUCUGUAGCUGGGCUGAGAGGACGACCAGCCACACUGGGACGGAGACACGGCCCAGACUCCUACGGGAGGCAGCAGUGGGGAAUUUUGGACAAUGGGGGAAACCCUGAUCCAGCCAUGCCGCGUGCAGGAGGAAGGCCUUCGGGUUGUAAACUGCUUUUGUACGGAACGAAAAGAGCGCUUCUAAGAAAGGGGAUUCAUGACGGUACCGUAAGAAUAAGCACCGGCUAACUACGU